UACGAAGGGGGCUAGCGUUGUUCGGAUUUACUGGGCGUAAAACGCGUGUAGGCGGAUCGUUAAGUCGGGGGUGAAAGCCCAGAGCUCAACUCUGGAAUUGCCUUCGAUACUGGCGGGCUGGAGCAGAGAAGAGGCGAGUGGAAUUUCGAGUGUAGAGGUGAAAUUCGUAGAUAAUCGGAGGAACGCCAGUGGCGAAGGCAGCACGCUGGUCUCUUGAUGACGCUGAGACGCGAAAGCGUGGGGAGCAAACAGG
rnacentral:rRNA from 1 species